GCGUAGUACAACCUGCCUAGAUACAUAAAUGACCUCAGGCACCGGAGUACAUGAUUCAUCACAUCCAAGAGAAGUGGGAUGGGAUGUUGUUCCCACAAUGCAGGUGAGAACAGCAGAGGAGCUGAGACAGAGGCAAGGAAAAUGUCUUUGCAAAGGAAUCAUGCAAAGGAGUUCUCACAAAACUGUUUUAGACAUCAGUUACUCGUACCUCAAGCAAAUACCCUAAGCAGUGGAGAAGUCACAGAACUGGAGUCACUGCCUCAACUCUCAAGACUAUUUAUUCCAUGCUGCUGAAGAAGAUGAUGGCUGGCACAAGGCUUAUGCUCUGUCUGGUCUCUUUCUGAUACUCUGCAGUUUGCUGAAGAUUGGCAUGUGGUUUACCCUGGCAAAACCCUUUGCUCAGAAUAAAUGUUGACAUUGAGUAGUAGGAUGUGGGACUGGAAAGAAACAAUUCUGGUAUAGCCCUGAGUCUUGGGGACUUGAAAAAGCUGGAGCACAACUGCCAUUACCUCACUGCCAGAAACAGAAUGCCUUACGAGGAAAUGGGAACUUGAACGUGACUGCAAGUGCCAAAACAACUCAGGGACACGCAGCAGUGGCUGGAAAUAGAUGCUUGAAGGAGGCUGCCAGCAUUUGCUAUUCUGCAUGGAAUACAGAUAGAUUACUGGUGUGCUACCAGAGGAGGAAGCCUGUGACACUCCCCCCUUCCACUGCUGCAUAAUGCUGCAUUGCAGGAAAACAGGAGUGGUGCUUUUGGGAAAGCUGAGGGCUGAUCACCAUGAAGAUUAACGCGCUGCCGCUGACUUACAAAACGCCAUCUCCGCUUUAUGGCCAGAGCAGGAUGAAGCUCACUCACAAGGGAGGAGAAGUAACCAGGAAGUUCUUUCUGUAAGACACUCAUGCUAUAAUUGUAAAAUCUACUUUAUGGGUUCCAGUUUAUGGCCCCAUUAAUCAUUCAGGACUGAUCUAUUUCAUGUUCCGAGUAUGCGUAUAUGUUCAAAGUAAAAGUGGGUGAUUAUUACAGGACAAUAUUUACAGAUUGAGAUCUAUGCAAGAAAUGAUUGGCCAGAAUAAAAACUGUGCAUACCACUUUUUGCUACUAUACUAUGUUAUUUUCUAUUUAAAACCUUUAGAUUAAAUAGCUCUCACAUGCAUUUAUUGACAAAUAUUGGUUUUUUCCUUCUUCAAAUCCUGAAUAAUGAUAUCAACAAAUGUUCAUAUAUUUCAACAAACAGCAAUAUUGGAUAUGGCUGAAGUAGAUGUAUUACUAUUUUAACCUGUAUUUUUGUGCCAGAAAUUUGAGUCUGUGGGGGAGCCCCACUACCAGGAUUGUCUUCUAAAAUAUGUAAAGUGGCUUUUAUAUCCAGAGAGGCUACCAGAGUAAAGCCUGUUAAUAAUUUUUAAUGGAUAUUUGGCCAAAAAUAAGCUGAAAAAGAAGUUAUUCAAACUAAAAUAUUUGAGUGAAAAUGAAAAAGUAGAUGGAAGUCACUCAUUUUUACUUUGAAAGGUUACUUUGCUGACUGCUGUGGGUCAGAUUCUUUGCCUCAUAUGUUCACUGAGACACUACAGCUGCUGACCUACUCUGGGUGCUGCAGUGCAGCACAAAGCUUUCAUGGGAUGCCAUAAAUCAUGGAAUGCUGAACCACGAACUCUGUCAAUAUAGAAUGGCAAGGACCUGAAGAGCCUGCGGAGGAAUUAUGAUGUAAUUUUCAGAUGAUUCAUUUUUUAUAGAAAAAAAAAUUCCCUUGUGUGGGAGAGAAAUGCUGCUUCAAAAACUCAUCUUAUUUAAACUAUUGCACUUUUUUUUUUUUGUCAGGAAGCUUUUCUGCUGAAAAUUUCAGGCAGCCAUGACCAUGUUUUUAGAGUGCUUUUCUUAAAUAUAUGCUGCCAAAGAUAUACUCAUUCCCACAGAAGACUGCUCUACUUCCUACAGGUCCUGAUCUGCUUAGUUUGAAACUAGUCUGGAUACUGACAUAGUCAUUGCAACACUGCAUAAGUAUAGCCAAAACUACAAUACAGACAGAACAGCAAUUCCAACUUUUCAUUUGCUUUCUAUUUCCUGAAUUUCUACCACUUCAUAAAAAUUUUGCAGUUUGUCAGGAAAAAAUAACUCUCUAGAAACCCUCACUGUAUUUAAUUAUUAUUUUUCUUA